GGCUAACUACCGUGCCAGCAGCCGCGGUAAUACGGAGGGUGCGAGCGUUAAUCGGAAUUACUGGGCGUAAAGCGCAUGCAGGCGGCCUGUUAAGUCAGAUGUGAAAGACCCGGGGCGUUAACCUCGGAAUUGCAUUUGAAACUGGCAGGCUAGAGUCUUGUAGAGGGGGGGUAGGAAUUUCAGGUGUAGCGGUGAAAUGCGUAGAGAUCUGAAGGAAUACCAGUGGCGAAGGCGGCCCCCCUGGACAAAGACUGACGCUCAGAUGCGAAAGCGUGGGGAGCAAACAGGAUUAGAUACCCCUGGUAG
rnacentral:rRNA from 1 species